rnacentral:rRNA from 1 species
UAAAAACCCCGACUUCGGAAGGGGUGUAUUUAUUAGAUACAAAACCAAUGCCCUUCGGGGCUCUUUGGUGAUUCAUGAUAACUAUACGAAUCGCACGGCCUUGCGCCGGCGAUGGUUCAUUCAAAUUUCUUCCCUAUCAACUUUCGAUGUUUGGGUAUUGGCCAAACAUGGUUGCAACGGGUAACGGAGGGUUAGGGCUCGACCCCGGAGAGGGAGCCUGAGUAACGGCUACUACAUCCAAGGAAGGCAGCAGGCGCGCAAAUUACCCAAUCCCGACUCGGGGAGGUAGUGACAAUAAAUACUGAUACAGGGCCCUUUCGGGCCUUGUAAUUGGAAUGAGUACAAUUUAAAUCCCUUAACGAGGAACAAUUGGAGGGCAAGUCUGGUGCCAGCAGCCGCGGUAAUUCCAGCUCCAAUAGCGUAUAUUAAAGUUGUUGUGGUUAAAAAGCUCGUAGUUGAACCUUGGGCCUGGCUGGCCGGUCCGCCUCACCGCGUGCACUGGUCCGGCCGGGCCUUUCCCUCUGUGGAACCCCAUACCCUUCACUGGGCGUGGCGGGGAAACAGGACAUUUACUUU